GUUUUUUGUAUAAUUGGCUAAUAAAAAGGAAGAAAUGGUGGGAAAAGGUAGAAAAAAAGGUAAUGGAUUAGGUUUUUCAAUGGGAUAGCCGGCCCUCUUGUGUUUUUAGGUUUGAGUGGAUGUUUCAAAUUGACAAUUAAGGGAUUGAUUAGGUAAUUAAUCCCUUAAUUAGUCAAUUAUUAUGAUUUUAUGAAAUAUG
rnacentral:lncRNA from 1 species